GGUUGGUGGUUGAAGGCUCAGCCGCUCAGUAUUGUCGCUGCCGCCGACGCGACAACAUGUAGCGCUGAUUUCCGACAUCAGCAACAUUGCUCCAGUUUGGAUCUGGCAACCGAGGUCCCCGUGGCCCGGAACCCUCGGCCUCCACCAGCACUGUUGUGGACCAGCAGACGACAUACAGGAGCAGCUCGCCAGCAACAUUCCCACUCAAAAUGCAGACGUCAAACAACAGCUCUGACCCACGGAGAGUGGAUAAGAUUGUUAGGUACAAACCAUCAGCACAAGGGACUCCAGGGGCCCCUGGUGAAGAUCCAACUACUGACUACAUGAAUGUACUAGGCAUGAUCUUCAGCAUGUGUGGUCUAAUGAUGAGAGUAAGUUUUGGGUUUCUGGCAUUAUAGGGUCUGUUCUG